rnacentral:misc_RNA from 1 species
GCGGUUCCAGCGUCAGUGCUUACUGUAAGCCUUAACCUUUUAGAUACUGUUGCCAACCUAGUCACACUUCCUUAUUGAUUUCUACAGCUAGUACUUUGGUAAUCUUAUGAUUUUCUUGGCUUUAUUUGCUUUGGGUUUGUUCUCCAACAUUACACUUAAGUAGAAUCAAAUCUAUGCUCCCUAUUUUUGAAUUCAAUCUUUUGUCAUCUGUAUACUUCCUGAGCAGUUUGAACCAAAUAUGCUUUGUCAUCCCCUUGGUGCUGUAUAAUAAUUUUUUUUCCCUAUACAAGUGUCAAGUCCUCUAGUAAUUUGGUUUCCGUCUUUCAGCUUGGAGGCGGAUAUCUCUUUGGG